AUUGAACGCUGGCGGCAUGCCUUACACAUGCAAGUCGAACGGCAGCACGGAGCUUGCUCUGGUGGCGAGUGGCGAACGGGUGAGUAAUAUAUCGGAACGUACCCUAGAGUGGGGGAUAACGUAGCGAAAGUUACGCUAAUACCGCAUACGAUCUAAGGAUGAAAGUGGGGGAUCGCAAGACCUCAUGCUCGUGGAGCGGCCGAUAUCUGAUUAGCUAGUUGGUAGGGUAAAAGCCUACCAAGGCAUCGAUCAGUAGCUGGUCUGAGAGGACGACCAGCCACACUGGAACUGAGACACGGUCCAGACUCCUACGGGAGGCAGCAGUGGGGAAUUUUGGACAAUGGGCGAAAGCCUGAUCCAGCAAUGCCGCGUGAGUGAAGAAGGCCUUCGGGUUGUAAAGCUCUUUUGUCAGGGAAGAAACGGUGAAAGCUAAUAUCUUUUGCUAAUGACGGUACCUGAAGAAUAAGCACCGGCUAACUACGUGCCAGCAGCCGCGGUAAUACGUAGGGUGCAAGCGUUAAUCGGAAUUACUGGGCGUAAAGCGUGCGCAGGCGGUUUUGUAAGUCUGAUGUGAAAUCCCCGGGCUCAACCUGGGAAUUGCAUUGGAGACUGCAAGGCUAGAAUCUGGCAGAGGGGGGUAGAAUUCCACGUGUAGCAGUGAAAUGCGUAGAUAUGUGGAGGAACACCGAUGGCGAAGGCAGCCCCNUGGGUCAAGAUUGACGCCCAUGCACGAAAGCGUGGGGAGCAAACAGGAUUAGAUACCCUGGUAGUCCACGCCCUAAACGAUGUCUACUAGUUGUCGGGUCUUAAUUGACUUGGUAACGCAGCUAACGCGUGAAGUAGACCGCCUGGGGAGUACGGUCGCAAGAUUAAAACUCAAAGGAAUUGACGGGGACCCGCACAAGCGGUGGAUGAUGUGGAUUAAUUCGAUGCAACGCGAAAAACCUUACCUACCCUUGACAUGGCUGGAAUCCCGAAGAGAUUUGGGAGUGCUCGAAAGAGAACCAGUACACAGGUGCUGCAUGGCUGUUGUCAGCUCGUGUCGUGAGAUGUUGGGUUAAGUCCCGCAACGAGCGCAACCCUUGUCAUUAGUUGCUACGAAAGGGCACUCUAAUGAGACUGCCGGUGACAAACCGGAGGAAGGUGGGGAUGACGUCAAGUCCUCAUGGCCCUUAUGGGUAGGGCUUCACACGUCAUACAAUGGUACAUACAGAGCGCCGCCAACCCGCGAGGGGGAGCUAAUCGCAGAAAGUGUAUCGUAGUCCGGAUUGUAGUCUGCAACUCGACUGCAUGAAGUUGGAAUCGCUAGUAAUCGCGGAUCAGCAUGUCGCGGUGAAUACGUUCCCGGGUCU
rnacentral:rRNA from 1 species